rnacentral:rRNA from 1 species
GAUGAACGCUGGCGGCGUGCCUAAUACAUGCAAGUCGAGCGAACGGACGCGAAGCUUGCUUCUCUGAUGUUAGCGGCGGACGGGUGAGUAACACGUGGAUAACCUACCUAUAAGACUGGGAUAACUUCGGAAAACCGUAGCUAAUACCGUAUAAUAUUUUGCACCGCAUGGUUCAAAAGUGAAAGACGGUCUUGCUGUCACUUAUAGAUGGAUCCGCGCUGCUUUAGCUAGUUGGUAAGUUAACGGCUUACCAAGGCAAGGAUGCAUAACCGACGGGAGAGGGGGAUCGGCCACACUGGAGGUGAGCCACGGUCCAGACUCCUACGGGAGGCAGCAGAAGGGAACGUGCCGCAGUGGGGGAAAGUCUGACGGAGCAAGGCGGCGUGAGUGAUGAAGGCGUUCGGAGCGUAAAAAUCGGUUAUUAGGGAAGAACCUAUGUGGAAGUAACUGUGCACAGCUUGACGGUACCGAAUCAGAAAGCCACGGCUAACUACGUG